rnacentral:rRNA from 1 species
GAUGAACGCUAGCUACAGGCUUAACACAUGCAAGUCGAGGGGUAACAGGAGGAAAGCUUGCUUUUCUUGCUGACGACCGGCGCACGGGUGAGUAACGCGUAUCCAACCUUCCCCUUAGUAGAGGAUAGCCCGGCGAAAGUCGGAUUAAUACCCUAUGUUCUUCGUUGAUGGCAUCAGAUAUGAAGCAAAGGUUUACCGCUAUGGGAUGGGGAUGCGUCUGAUUAGGUUGUUGGCGGGGUAACGGCCCACCAAGCCAUCGAUCAGUAGGGGUUCUGAGAGGAAGGUCCCCCACAUUGGUACUGAGACACGGACCAAACUCC